UACGAAGGGGGCUAGCGUUGCUCGGAAUCACUGGGCGUAAAGCGCACGUAGGCGGCUUCUUAAGUCAGGGGUGAAAUCCUGGAGCUCAACUCCAGAACUGCCUUUGAUACUGGGAGGCCUCGAGUCCGGGAGAGGUGAGUGGAACUGCGAGUGUAGAGGUGAAAUUCGUAGAUAUUCGCAAGAACACCAGUGGCGAAGGCGGCUCACUGGCCCGGUACUGACGCUGAGGUGCGAAAGCGUGGGAGCAACAGG
rnacentral:rRNA from 1 species